rnacentral:rRNA from 1 species
GACGAACGCGGGCGGCGUGCCUAAUACAUGCAAGUCGAACGCACGAAGUUGAAGAGCUUGCUCUUUAACCAAGUGAGUGGCGGACGGGUGAGUAACACGUGGGUAACCUACCCAUUAGAGGGGGAUAACAUUCGGAAACGGAUGCUAAUACCGCAUAGUUUCAGGAAUCGCAUGAUUCGUGAAGGAAAGGUGGCUUCGGCUACCACUAAUGGAUGGACCCGCGGCGUAUUAGCUAGUUGGUGAGGUAAUGGCUCACCAAGGCAAUGAUACGUAGCCGACCUGAGAGGGUGAUCGGCCACACUGGGACUGAGACACGGCCCAGACUCUUACGGGAGGCAGCAGUAGGGAAUCUUCCGCAAUGGACGAAAGUCUGACGGAGCAACGCCGCGUGAGUGAAGAAGGUUUUCGGAUCGUAAAACUCUGUUGUUAAAGAAGAACAAGGAUGAGAGUAACUGCUCAUCCCCUGACGGUAUUUAACCAGAAAGCCACGGCUAACUACGUGCCAGCAGCCGCGGUAAUACGUAGGUGGCAAGCGUUGUCCGGAUUUAUUGGGCGUAAAGCGAGCGCAGGCGGUUCUUUAAGUCUGAUGUGAAAGCCCCCGGCUCAACCGGGGAGGGUCAUUGGAAACUGGAGAACUUGAGUGCAGAAGAGGAGAGUGGAAUUCCACGUGUAGCGGUGAAAUGCGUAGAUAUGUGGAGGAACACCAGUGGCGAAGGCGACUCUCUGGUCUGUAACUGACGCUGAGGCUCGAAAGCGUGGGGAGCAAACAGG